AGCGAACACUGGCGGCAGGCCUAACACAUGCAAGUCGAACGAACCCUUCGGGGUUAGUGGCGGACGGGUGAGUAACACGUGGGAACGUGCCUUUAGGUUCGGAAUAACUCAGGGAAACUUGUGCUAAUACCGAAUGUGCCCUUCGGGGGAAAGAUUUAUCGCCUUUAGAGCGGCCCGCGUCUGAUUAGCUAGUUGGUGAGGUAAUGGCUCACCAAGGCUACGAUCAGUAGCUGGUCUGAGAGGAUGACCAGCCACAUUGGGACUGAGACACGGCCCAAGCUCCUACGGGAGGCAGCAGUGGGGAAUCUUGCGCAAUGGGCGAAAGCCUGACGCAGCCAUGCCGCGUGGAUGAUGAAGGUCUUAGGAUUGUAAAAUCCUUUCACCGGUGAAGAUAAUGACUGUAGCCGGAGAAGAAGCCCCGGCUAACUUCGUGCCAGCAGCCGCCGUAAUAC
rnacentral:rRNA from 1 species